rnacentral:pre_miRNA from 1 species
AUAUAGACCACCUGAGGGUCUUGUUAAAAUAUAGAAUCUGACUCAGUGAUCCUGAGAGUGGGGCCCAAGAUUCUGCAUUUCUAACAAGCUCCCAGAUGAUGCCCAU